GGGACGCGCCGUCCGGGCCGGGGGGUAGGGGCGCUUAUGGAGGACGGGACGGCGCGGCAGAGGCGGCUGCCAUAGGGCGCUCCUUUCCUCCUUCCCUCCCGAAAUCGGGACAUCCUAGCGGUUUUCUGCAGCCGUCACCGGCUUUGUGUGGUGAAUUCCCGCAGCUGGAGGGAAGAGCGCGGUGCCCACCUCGGAAAUGGGGCAGCUAAUACACCAAAAGCUCAUGUGAUGAACAACUGCUAAAGAUCAGUGACAUCUGAAGCAAGAUAAAGAAAAAAGAAAAUAAACUGAUUUAUACAAUGGUACAAUUUGGGAAUGUUAUUCAUAUUCUCUGGUCAUGCAUGGCUACAUCCCAGGUGAACAUCUAUCCGGAGGAAACUACCAAGAUAAAAAAGCGAUUGUAAUUUUCUAAUACUGAACAUUUCAAGAUUUUAUUUUGUCUUUUGUCAACUAUAUUACCAAACUUCAAAUAAAAAUCAGGUGGCUUAAUUCCCAAAGAAGUCACUGUAAUUUUGUCUCCGGCUUAAAUAGUAAAACAAUUUGCCCUAUGGAGUAAUUUGAAAACAGAUUUCUUUUCAGUGUUCCAGUUUCUAUGUUUCUCUAACCCACUGUAUAUUAACAGAACCUAUGAAUUUCAUAUUGAAUGUAUAAAUGACAGGCUUUUUUAGUUGAUAAUUUUUAUUGGAACACUUGCAAUCAGCAUCUUUUUUCUUAGGAUUUUACCCUGUCCUUUAGCUUAGUAUGGGAUUGUCUUCCACAGACUGAGUAAGAAAAGCAAAUCCCUAUGGAAUCAAACAAACAGUAAUUUCCAUAAUGAAAACAGACUCUAUUUUGAUGACUUUUAGCUCUGAUAGAAAAAGGGGACUCAGAAGACAGAAGUCAGGAGCUGCGUCUCAGCCUCUCAAGCAAAGCAGGUGGUGUCUCAUACAGUCGGCCAGUAACUCAUCGCUGGGCAUCCCUCCUCCCAAAAGGCUGCUGGAUGGAUGGGAAUGGGGUUGGGAAGCGGGACCCCCAAACCUCAGUUGCUUCACUGGUGCUGUGGGACAGCUGUAUCCUCACAGGAGAGCCUCUUGCAAGUGCUAAACAGAAAACUACAAUGCAAGGUAAUUCAAGUGUUGUCAGUGGUUAGACCUGAUAGGGAUUUUGAUCUAUAUUUUUAAGAGUCAUGUAGGACCAGGGCUAGAUUUUGUAGCUUAGGAUUUAUUUGGAGGAAGAAUUCCAGUUUCAAAUUUUUAAGCACUAGUGGUAAGAAUAAGCAACUUUGUCACUUUGAGAAAAACAGCAGUGAAUUACUACUUUUACUUAGUUCUGCCUUUUUCCUUAAGUAAGACCUAAAAAAAAAAAUACUCCUUUAGAAUCAACAGGUCUCAUUCAUCUCCAUAGCAGAAUAUCAGUGACAGGGAUGAGAAGGUUCUUCAUUAAAUACUUACUGCAAUAAUCCUGAGGACUAUUAGUUCUGUUACAGAACACAGAGGGAGUGCUGAUGAAGACAUCAGUCAGCCAAUGUAAGACAGAGUUGUGCUGGGGCUGGCAAAGAAAAAACUGAAGUGUGUUAUUCUGUCCAUCCAUGAGAAACCAAUAGCUAUUUAUUCCAAACUGUAAGUAGCCUUCUGCAUGCUGAGCAGCAGCAUUUCAUCCUUUGGUGUGUCUAGGUUUGCCAUCCUAUUGUUUUCUCCUGAAACUGAACUCAGCAAGAUUUUCUGUAUAUUAUUUUACCAGGGUUGGUCGAUCAGAAGACUCUUCUAUAUACUAACCUUCAAGGUGUCUUAAAAUACAGUUUUUGCCUUGAGGAUUCAGCAGAGGUAACUGUACACAGGCCAGGCUUCAUAAACAUAAAAUGUGUAUUGAUACAAGACAAAAAGAGUUGUCGUAGAGAGCAGUGGGUUCCCAAAUGUCAGAAGCAGGAAACAAAACCAAGGACAGAAACUAUCAACUGAAGUAUUGUCUGUCUGCUUUCAUCCAAUAAAAUAUUGCAGAUCAAAU